rnacentral:rRNA from 1 species
UAAUACGUAGGGCGCAAGCGUUGUCCGGAAUUAUUGGGCGUAAAGAGCUCGUAGGCGGCUUGUCACGUCGGGUGUGAAAGCCCGGGGCUUAACCCCGGGUCUGCAUUCGAUACGGGCUAGCUAGAGUGUGGUAGGGGAGAUCGGAAUUCCUGGUGUAGCGGUGAAAUGCGCAGAUAUCAGGAGGAACACCGGUGGCGAAGGCGGAUCUCUGGGCCAUUACUGACGCUGAGGAGCGAAAGCGUGGGGAGCGAACAGGAUUAGAUACCCUGGUAGUCCACGCCGUAAACGGUGGGAACUAGGUGUUGGCGACAUUCCACGUCGUCGGUGCCGCAGCUAACGCAUUAAGUUCCCCGCCUGGGGAGUACGGCCGCAAGGCUAAAACUCAAAGGAAUUGACGG